rnacentral:other from 1 species
UGACCCCUGCCCUGUUCGUGGAGGCCUGUUACUUUUGAGCCAACACUCUGUAGACGGGGCUCCCAUUGCGGGCGUGGUGUGCAUGUUCGCAACCGCGAAAAGCCUUAAGCGCUCCUGGGGAAACCCACCUGGUCGAGCAGGUUCAAAAGCUGAACUUGACCACGGCAACGGGCGGGGGUUUU